rnacentral:rRNA from 1 species
UCACCUGCCGAAUGAACUAGCCCUGAAAAUGGAUGGCGCUGAAGUGCAGUACCGAUACUAAGCCAUUGCAGCAAAUUCGAAGCUGCGAUGAGUAAGAGGGCGUGUCCGUCACGUGUAGAAGCCUUUGGUGUGAACCUGGGUGGAACGGCGGAUAGUGCAGAUCUUGGUGGUAGUAGCAAAUAUUCAAAUGAGAACUUUGAAGACCGAAGUGGGGAAGGGUUCCAUGAG